rnacentral:rRNA from 1 species
GACGAACGCUGGCGGCGUGCUUAACACAUGCAAGUCGAACGAAGUGGCGAACGGGUGAGUAACGCGUAAUCAACCUGCCCUUCAGAGGGGGACAACAGUUGGAAACGACUGCUAAUACCGCAUACUGAAGGAGGGGCUUGCGUCUGAUUAGCUAGUUGGGGGGGUAACGGCCCACCAAGGCGAAGAUCAGUAGCCGGGCUGGGAGGGUGAACGGCCACAUUGGGAAUGGGACAAGGCCCAGACUCCUACGGGAGGCAGCAGUGGGGAAUCUUCCGCAAUGGAGGAAAGUCUGACGGGGCAACGGCGCGUGAGUGAUGACGGCCUUCGGGUUGGAAAGCUCUGUUUAUCGGGAAGCGGUACCGGAAUAGAAAGCCACGGCUAACUACGUGCCAGCAGCCGCGGUAAUAC